CGGACGGGUGAGUAAUGCUGGGAAACUGCCUGAUGGAGGGGGAUAACUACUGGAAACGGUAGCUAAUACCGCAUAACGUCGCAAGACCAAAGAGGGGGACCUUCGGGCCUCUUGCCAUCGGAUGUGCCCAGAUGGGAUUAGCUAGUAGGUGGGGUAACGGCUCACCUAGGCGACGAUCCCUAGCUGGUCUGAGAGGAUGACCAGCCACACUGGAACUGAGACACGGUCCAG
rnacentral:rRNA from 1 species